rnacentral:misc_RNA from 1 species
UCUCCGUAGGUGAACCUGCGGAGGGAUCAUUACUGAGUGAGGGUCUCCGGGCCCGACCUCCAACCCUUUUGUGAACCACCUCGUUGCUUCGGGGGCGACCCUGCCGUUCGCGGCGUGGGGCCCCCGGAGCCCAUCAAACUCUGCAUCCUUGCGUCGGAGUAUUGAAAGCAAAUCAAUCAAAACUUUUAACAACGGAUCUCUUGGCUCUCGCAUCGAUGAAGAACGCAGC